GAUGAAGAACGCAGCGAAAUGCGAUAAGUAGUGUGAAUUGCAGAAUUCAGUGAAUCAUCGAAUCUUUGAACGCACAUUGCGCCCCAUGGUAUUCCGUGGGGCAUGUCUGUUCGAGCGUCAUUUACCCCCUCAAGCUCCGCUUGGUGUUGGGCGUCUGUCCCGCUUCGCGCGCGGACUCGCCCCAAAGGUAUUGGCAGCGGUCGUGCCAGCUUCUCGCGCAGCACAUUGCGCUUCUCGAGGCACCGGUGGGCCCGCGUCCAUCAAGCUCACCCCCCCAGUUUGACCUCGGAUCAGGUAGGGAUACCCGCUGAACUUAAGCAUAUCAAUAAGCGGAGGA
rnacentral:misc_RNA from 1 species